GUCUACUCUCAGUAUCUCAUAUAAGUGGAAUCAUAUACUAUUUCUCCUUUCGUGACUUAUUUCAUUUAGCAUCAUGUUCGCAAGAUUCAUCCUUGAGACAUGCGUCACCCCUUUUUGUGUGAGGAGGAAGCGGCAGCUACACCCCUAGAAGCAUUUAGGGGGUGUCGAGGAACCAACACAUUGAGUCUCCGUGAGGUCAUUGGGUACUGACAACAAUCCAAGCCCUCUCCAAGCCAUGAGAUGGAAGAGUGUCCUUAUAUGAAGACUGCUGGAGUUCCAUUGGCUGGAAGUGCCUCAGGCUGUGGCUGGUGUUUGAAGGGCUGCUCCACACAUAUCAAUCAUCCUUUGACAAGAUCUGGAAGAAAAAAAAAAACAACAAAAACCACCCCCCAAAAAGGUGAGGUUCCGAGAUGGUAUCUGGAUGAUGAACACAGAGAGAGCUUCCAUUGUUCCUCUUCUCCUUUGUGCAGAGGAAGCCGUUGGCUGAGUUCAGAAAAAUGUUAAGUGCAUAUCCCGGACCAGUUUGGGUCUCCAGACUGAAUGAAGCCAGUCAGCUGGGAUUCUGGUUGAGUCUCAGACUCAGAAGAAACUUGUGGGAUUAAGUGGUUUUUCUGGAAAAUAUUGGCUGAAAACCACAUUCACCCCAAAUUGCUGUGUGAAUGAAACACAUGGGUUUUCUUUGUGUUUUAAAUAAUUCCAGUGGUGGCCUCAAGCUUCUAUUUCCCUGUGUUUUUAUGGAGUUAACCAAAAUAGCUUUGUACAAAUAACAAAAAGUAUGAAAAAGUAUAUGCACCUUGUCAUUGCUUUGCCAAUUGGAAAUACUCUUAAGACAUAUGAACAACAAUAAAAAGCUGUGGCUUCAGCUUUUAAAAUGCUGAAGACAUGGCUUAUUGCAGAA
ensembl:lncRNA ROCR regulator of chondrogenesis RNA